rnacentral:lncRNA from 1 species
UACAUACUAUUUUUCUAGAAGAUGCCACAGUUUCUUCCAAAUUGGCUGUACCAAUUUAAGUUCCUACAAUUUGUGUUUAAGAGUUCCCACUUUUUCAUGUUCUUGCUAACGUUCAGAGUUAUCAUAUUUUUAAAUGUUUGCUAAUCUGGUGGAUGAAAACUGGUAAACUAUUGUUAUUUUUUUUCCUUUUCAUCAUUUUUAUGAAAAAAAAAAUCAAGCAUAUACUGAAAGGAAGAAGUUUGAUGAAUCCCUAUGUGCCUGUCAGCUAGCUUCAACAAUUACCAACUCUGAGCUACUCUUUUAUCAAUAAUACCCUACUCAUAUCUCUCACUCCCCACAAGAUCAUUUGAAGCAAACCUCAGAAAUCACUUUAUUCCUAAAUAUUUAAGUAUGCAUCUCUAACUUAUUAAAAUUUUUUUGGUUUUGUUUUUUGUUUUUCUGAAACGGAAUUUCACUCUUGUUGCCCAGGCUGGAGUGCAAUGGCGCAAUCUUGGCUCACUGCAACCUCUGUCUCCCAGGUUCAAGUGAUUCUCCUGCCUAAGUCUGGGAUUACAGGCAUGCACCACCACACCCGGCUAAUUUUUGUAUUUUUAGUAGAGAUGGGGUUUCACCAUAUUGGCCAGGCUAGUCUUGAACUUCUGACUUCAGGUGAUCCACCUGCCUCGGCCUCCCAAAGUGCUGGGAUUACAGGCGUGAAGCACCACGCCCAGCCUGAAAUAAUAUUUUACCUUUUACUUUGUGCUUUUUGUGUUUUACUCAGGAAGUCCUCCCCUACAUCUGUUUUCUUCUGUAUUUCUUUUCAUAUUUAGGUCUUUAAUCCACCUGGAUUUUUUGUUUGGGUUUUUGUUGUUCUUUAGUCAAAGAUCCAAUUCUUUUUUCUAUUUAAAUAACCAUCAUUGACUGACUAGUCCAUCCUUACCCCACCCCUACUGAUUAUGAUGUCACUGCUGUCACAUAUUGUCAUACGUGGGGGGCUGUUACUGGGUUCUCCAGUCUCCUCCCUUUACUUUAUCUGUUUGUGUAUCCCUGUGCUGGUGCCACACUGCCUCGUUCACUGAUGUUUUUAAUAAGCCUGCACCAUUUGUAUGUCAAUUCUUCCUGCUCUUCUUAUCCAUCAAAAAUCACUUUAACUUUUCUUGUUCCUUUACUCUUCCAUAUAAAUUGUUUAUUCAACCAUCAGGUUCCAGGAAAAAGCCUGUUAGUAUUUUCAUUGGACUUACAUGGAAUUUGUAGAUUUUGAAAAAACAGAUAUUUUUAUGAGUCUUCCUAUUCAUAAAAAUAGUAUGUCUCCAUUUACUUAUGUCUUUAAGUGUAUUUCAGUAAAGCUUUCUAUCUUUUCCACAUUGGUCAGCUCCUCUUUUUAUUAGAAUUAUUCCCUAGCAUUUCAUAUUUUCUGUUGCUGUUGUAAAGGGUAAUUUUACAUUUUUAUCUAUUACUGAUAUAAAGAAUUGUAAUUUAUUUCACAUAUUGAUCUAGUAUUAAGCAGCAUGCUGAAUUACUUAAUUCUAUAUGACUAUAAACUUUGCAGGGACUUGCUGUUGCCCAGGCUGGAGUGCAGUGGUGUGAUCAUGGCUCACCACUGCCUCGACCUCCUGGGCCCAAGCAAUGAUUCUCCUAUCUCAGCCCUCUGAGUAGCUGGGACCACAGGCCUGUGCCACCACUCCUGACUAAUUUUUCUGUACUUUUUGUAGAGAUGGGGUUUUGCCAUGUUGCCCAGGCUAGUCUUGAACUCUUGGGUUCAAGCCAUCUGCCUGCCUGGUCUUCCCAAAGAGCUGGGAUGACAGGUGUGAGCCACCACACCUGUCUUGUUGAAUUUUCUAUAAACAGUCAUACAAUUUGCAAAAGAAAACAAAAACUUUAGUUCCUUGUGUGGUUCCUAAGGCCUCCAAUAAAACAAAGUGACAAUAGCAGCC